GUCUAUGGCCAUACCACCCUGAACACACCCGAUCUCAUCUGAUCUCAGAAGCUAAGCAAGGUCUGGCCUGGUUAGUACUUGGAUGGGAGACAAUGGGUUAGGGUGACAAGGGAA
rnacentral:rRNA from 1 species